GGUUGCCAGUUUCCUUCCUUGACAUGGCUCCAUGCCACCAGACAGAGGCAUUGCGUUCUCUGUGUCCUGUAUUUGGAGCAUGGCCCACUGCAGUGAGGAGCAGCUCUCCAGGCUUGUGGAGCAGAGGCCACCCAUCAGGCUCCUGGUCACCUUCCUGUGGAAUUACUGUCAAGUCAGCUCUGGGUUCUGCAGCCAGAAAUUCAGCUUCAGGCACCAUCCACAGGGAGGCCUGGGAGGAGUACACGGUUGUUUUCCACAACAUCAACCUCCAAGAGUCAGGGAUGCUCCUUAACAACCUGCUAUGGAUUGACCAGGAAUUUAUUUAAGCCCUCCCUGAACCUGUUUAUGUUUCAAUAAACUCUUUUAUUGAUCCUCUUAA